rnacentral:rRNA from 1 species
GACGAACGCUGGCGGCGUGCUUAACACAUGCAAGUCGAACGAAGUGGCGAACGGGUGAGUAACGCGUAAUCAACCUGCCCUUCAUAGGGGGACACCAGUUGGAAACGACUGCUAAUACCGCAUACUGAAGGAGGGGAUAGCGUCUGAGUAGCUAGUGGGAGGGGUAACGGCCCACCAAGGCGAUGAUCAGUAGCCGGUCUGACAGGAUGAACGGCAACAUUGGGACUGAGACACGGCCCAGACUCCUACGGGAGGCAGCAGUAGGGAAUAUUCGGCAAUGGACGAAAGUCUGACCGAGCAACGCCGCGUGAGGUAAGAAGGUUUUCGGAUCGUAAAACUCUGUUGUUAGAGAAGCGGUAUAUAACCAGAAAGCCACGGCUAACUACGUGCCAGCAGCCGCGGUAAUAC